UACAGAAGCCUCAAGCGUUACCCGGAUUUAUUGGGCGUAAAGGAUGCGUAGGCGGUUAUAUUAGUCUUGUGUUAAAUCUUUGGGCUCAACCCAAUGUUCGCACAGGAAACGGUAUAACUAGAAGAAGUGAGAGGUGAACAGAACUCUCGGUGUAGGGGUGAAAUCCGUUGAUAUCGAGGGGAAUACCAAAUGCGAAGGCAGUUCACUGGCACUUUCUUGACGCUGAGGCAUGAAAGCGUGGGUAGCGAAUCGG
rnacentral:rRNA from 1 species